GAACCAGUGCUUUAGAAACUCCACACAGUUAAGCAGUGCGUCUGCUUACUGUCUGUUAUAUAACUUUAGACCCAAGGACAAUGCUUGACAGGGUCAGUAUUCAAAAAUCUGUCCAAGGUGCCUUUGUUUGGUGCUCUCCGACGAGUGUUUAAGCAAUAUAUGCACAAGGUUUCUUCUCACAGCUGCCAAAACUAGAAUUGGAGAUGCUAGAGAGGAAGAUGUAGAAAAUGGGCAAAAUAUCAGCCUGAUACCAUGAGGAUGAAUGAGAGCUUACCCUUGCCUCUCCACAACCACAGCAGUUUGGUGAUUUUGGACCAGUCUGAAAAUGUAGAAACACAGUCCCAACCGUAUUCCAUGGUAAUAUAAUGGAUGUUAGAUGUGGUGGUUGUUCAGACAAAUUGCCAGAGUAUGCAGAUUUCAGUGCUGUAUAUUGGUCACACCAAUGUGAUUUCCAGUCAUCUUUAACUUUGCUUACAUUUGUACUUGAAUCAAGCCAUAAAUCUACUACUGGUGGUGUCAAGUCAACUAGUGAUGUAUUGGAUAUUUGAAGAAAACAGAGAUACCACUGAAGACCUAUGAUGUAA